AACGAACGCUGGCGGCAUGCCUAACACAUGCAAGUCGAACGAGACCUUCGGGUCUAGUGGCGCACGGGUGCGUAACGCGUGGGAACCUGCCCUUAGGUUCGGAAUAACUCCCCGAAAGGGGUGCUAAUACCGGAUAAUGUCUUCGGACCAAAGAUUUAUCGCCUUUGGAUGGGCCCGCGUUGGAUUAGCUAGUUGGUAGGGUAAAAGCCUACCAAGGCGACGAUCCAUAGCUGGUCUGAGAGGAUGAUCAGCCACACUGGGACUGAGACACGGCCCAGACUCCUACGGGAGGCAGCAGUGGGGAAUAGUGGAAAAUGGGCGAAAGCCUGAUCCAGCAAUGCCGCGUGAGUGAUGAAGGCCUUAGGGUUGUAAAGCUCUUUUAACCGGGAUGAUAAUGACAGUACCGGGAGAAUAAGCUCCGGCUAACUCCGUG
rnacentral:rRNA from 1 species